UCAGAUUGAACGCUGGCGGCAGGCCUAACACAUGCAAGUCGAGCGGUAACAGAAAGUAGCUUGCUACUUUGCUGACGAGCGGCGGACGGGUGAGUAAUGCUUGGGAACAUGCCUUGAGGUGGGGGACAACAGUUGGAAACGACUGCUAAUACCGCAUAACGUCUACGGACCAAAGGGGGCUUCGGCUCUCGCCUUUAGAUUGGCCCAAGUGGGAUUAGCUAGUUGGUGAGGUAAUGGCUCACCAAGGCGACGAUCCCUAGCUGGUUUGAGAGGAUGAUCAGCCACACUGGGACUGAGACACGGCCCAGACUCCUACGGGAGGCAGCAGUGGGGAAUAUUGCACAAUGGGCGCAAGCCUGAUGCAGCCAUGCCGCGUGUGUGAAGAAGGCCUUCGGGUUGUAAAGCACUUUCAGUCAGGAGGAAAGGUUAGUAGUUAAUACCUGCUAGCUGUGACGUUACUGACAGAAGAAGCACCGGCUAACUCCGUGCCAGCAGCCGCGGUAAUACGGAGGGUGCGAGCGUUAAUCGGAAUUACUGGGCGUAAAGCGUACGCAGGCGGUUUGUUAAGCGAGAUGUGAAAGCCCCGGGCUCAACCUGGGAACUGCAUUUCGAACUGGCAAACUAGAGUGUGAUAGAGGGUGGUAGAAUUUCAGGUGUAGCGGUGAAAUGCGUAGAGAUCUGAAGGAAUACCGAUGGCGAAGGCAGCCACCUGGGUCAACACUGACGCUCAUGUACGAAAGCGUGGGGAGCAAACGGGAUUAGAUACCCCGGUAGUCCACGCCGUAAACGAUGUCUACUAGAAGCUCGGGUCCUCGGACUUGUUUUUCAAAGCUAACGCAUUA
rnacentral:rRNA from 1 species